rnacentral:rRNA from 1 species
AACGUAGGAGGCAAGCGUUAUCCGGAGUUACUGGGCGUAAAGGGCGUGUAGGCGGUGGGAUAAGUGGAUGGUGAAAGACCCAUGCUCAACGUGGGGAACGCCGUUCAGACUGUCCGACUAGAGGCAGCUAGAGGAAUGCGGAAUUCGGGGUGUAGCGGUGAAAUGUGUAGAGAUCCCGAGGAACACCAGCGGCGAAGGCGGCAUUCUGGGGCUGAACUGACGCUGAGGCGCGAAGGCGUGGGGAGCGAACGGG